rnacentral:rRNA from 1 species
AACGAACGCUGGCGGCACGCCUAACACAUGCAAGUCGAACGGUAACGGCUCUUCGGAGGCCGACGAGUGGCGGACGGGUGAGUACGCGUGGAUACCUGCCCCGAGGUACGGGACAACAUCUGGAAACAGUUGCUAAUACCGUACAAGCUCCAAGGAGGAAAGGCUUCGGCCGCCUUGGGAGGGGUCCGCGUCGGAUUAGCUAGUUGGUGAGGUAACGGCUCACCAAGGCGACGAUCCGUAGCUGGUCUGAGAGGAUGAUCAGCCACACUGGGACUGAGACACGGCCCAGACUCCUACGGGAGGCAGCAGUGGGGAAUAUUGCGCAAUGGGGGGCAACCCUGACGCAGCGAUGCCGCGUGAGUGAAGAAGGCCUUCGGGUUGUAAAGCUCUUUUAGUAGGGACGAUAGUGACGGUACCUACAGAAGAAGCUCCGGCUAACUCCGUGCCAGCCCGCCG